rnacentral:lncRNA from 1 species
UGUGUGUAUGUGUUUUUGGUAUAAAAUAUGUUUGCAACAAAUAGAGUGUGGGGAUGAGAAUUUUUUUUAUUAAUUAUAUUUUUUUUUGUGUUUGACAAGACCUUCAGACUUGUGCCUACGUACCAACAUAAAAAUGAGGGAUCAAAACCUCGUAGUUUGUGGUAUUAAUUUUAAAGUGAAUGGGUUGCUUUUAACAAAAAAUUAAAUUUAAAAGAGGCACAAAAGGGCCUAAAAUAGUUUGAAUGAGUGUUAGUU